rnacentral:rRNA from 1 species
CCUACGGGGGGCAGCAGUGAGGAAUAUUGGUCAAUGGACGAGAGUCUGAACCAGCCAAGUAGCGUGAAAGAUGACUGCCCUAUGGGUUGUAAACUUCUUUUAUAUGGGAAUAAAAUGUUCCACGUGUGGGAUUUUGUAUGUACCAUAUGAAUAAGGAUCGGCUAACUCCGUGCCAGCAGCCGCGGUAAUACGGAGGAUCCGAGCGUUAUCCGGAUUUAUUGGGUUUAAAGGGAGCGUAGGUGGAUUGUUAAGUCAGUUGUGAAAGUUUGCGGCUCAACCGUAAAAUUGCAGUUGAAACUGGCAGUCUUGAGUACAGUAGAGGUGGGCGGAAUUCGUGGUGUAGCGGUGAAAUGCUUAGAUAUCACGAAGAACUCCGAUUGCGAAGGCAGUUCACUGGACUGCAACUGACACUGAGGCUCGAAAGUGUGGGUAUCAAACAGGAUUAGAUACCCUAGUAGUC